GAUGAUUCACGAUAACUAAACGAAUCGCAGGCUUAACGUCGGCGAUGAUACGAACGAGUUUCUGACCUAUCAACUUUAGAUGGCAGAGUAGGGGUUUGCCAUGGUGACAACGGGUGACGGGGAAUUAGGGUUCGAUUCCGGAGAGGGAGCCUUAGAAACGGCUACCACUUCCAAGGAAGGCAGCAGGCGCGCAAAUUACCCAAUACCGAUUCGGUGAGGUAGUGACAAGAAAUACCGAUGUAGGACCCAACGGGUACUACGUUUGGAAUGAGUACAAUUUAAAAACCUUAACGAGGAACAAUUGGAGGGCAAGUCUGGUGCCAGCAGCC
rnacentral:rRNA from 1 species